CUACCCUUGCUUUAUCUUCUUCUCUCCCCGCCAUUUUCUGCUCUUCUUUGUAGUAAUCACCUAUCUCCAAUACACUGCAGACCCGAUGUCACCAAUUUUCUAGACCGCACCAUACGGGCAGCGGUACAACAGCAUCUCUUUGAGAUAAACUCCCUUGACUGUCCCCGUGUACCGGGACCUGGUUUGCGGGGACCUGGUUUGCCGGAAACUGGUUUGCCAGAACCUGGUUUGCACGGACGUCGUUGGACGGCACCUGCUUUGCAGUUUCCCCAAGAGGAUACUACUUGCUUUAGUCCUCCGCCGUGGACGUCUAGUGCGAGGCAGAGACGUCGGCAGAAGAGAGAGCAGAGGGAAGAGGAGGAGGGCGAGAGGGAGCCAGAGAGAAGCAGGUAUGGUUCACCUCUUGUGGUCUCAGCUGUUGGUUCAUGUUGGUGUUCCAUUGGUGCCAUGUGGGUACUUUCCUCAGAGGUGUCAGUGUAGGGAAAACAGAUUGGUUUUGGGAGGGGGUAAAGAUUAGAGGGAAACAGGGUAACUGUUAGAUGGUUGGGAUUAGUGCUACAAGUUCAAAGAGUUUGGGUUCAAAUCCUUUCCAAUCUGUUCUAAU
rnacentral:lncRNA from 1 species